rnacentral:rRNA from 1 species
GAUGAACGCUGGCGGCGUGCCUAACACAUGCAAGUCGAGCGAACCCUUCGGGGUGAGCGGCGGACGGGUGAGUAACGCGUGGGUAACCUGCCCUAUACACACGGAUAACGUACCGAAAGGUACGCUAAUACGGGAUAAAGUUGUUGGAUGGCAUCUUCUAACAAUCAAAGCUCCGGCGGUAUAGGAUGGACCCGCGUCUGAUUAGCUAGUUGGUGAGGUAAUGGCUCACCAAGGCGACGAUCAGUAGCCGACCUGAGAGGGUGAUCGGCCACACUGGAACUGAGACACGGUCCAGACUCCUACGGGAGGCAGCAGUGGGGAUAUUGCACAAUGGGCGAAAGCCUGAUGCAGCAACGCCGCGUGAGCGAUGAAGGUCUUCGGAUCGUAAAGCUCUGUCCUCAAGGAAGAUAAUGACGGUACUUGGGGAGGAAGCCCCGGCUAACUACGUGCCAGCCGCCGCGGUAA